AAUCAACGCUGGCGGCGUGCCUCAGACAUGCAAGUCGAACGAUUAAAGCUCUCUUCGGAGAGUGCAUAGAGUGGCGCACGGGUGAGUAACACGUAAGUAAUCUACCUUUGAGUGGGGAAUAACAUCGGGAAACCGAUGCUAAUACCGCAUAAUGCAGCGGCAUCGCAAGAUGACAGUUGUUAAAGAUUUAUCGCUUGAAGAGGAGCUUGCGGCAGAUUAGCUAGUUGGUAAGGUAAUGGCUUACCAAGGCUACGAUCUGUAACCGGGUCUAAGAGGACGGUCGGUCACACUGACACUGAAUAACGGGUCAGACUCCUACGGGAGGCAGCAGUCGGGAAUUUUGGGCAAUGGGCGAAAGCCUGACCCAGCAACGCCGCGUGAAGGAUGAAGUAUUUCGGUAUGUAAACUUCGAAAGAAUAGGAAGAAUAAAUGACGGUACUAUUUAUAAGGUCCGGCUAACUACGUG
rnacentral:rRNA from 1 species